GGCCCAGUGGCCUAAUGGAUUAGGCAUCAGCCUUCGGAGCUGAGGGAUUGUGGGUUAGAGUCCCAUCUGGGUCA